rnacentral:lncRNA from 1 species
AUCACUGCGGUAGUUAUACUCUGACUUUGCAUCUUCUGCAACAAUUAGCGUAGCUGAAAAAAUAACAGUCGUCUCCAUCAACGGCAGAGGGAGAUAAAGAAAAGCAGAGGAAUACAGAAACCGUAGCUUAUUAUACUCGAGAUCUUUAAGAGUGUGAUCGUACAUAGUUAGAGAAGAGAAGUACAUGAGUGUUGUUGAUCUUUCUCAUCCACCAUUUAGUAAUAGAGGAUAUAUUUGAGUUCCAUAGAUGAUAAAAUAACAUUUCUUAGUUAAAACUAUUGAAUC